rnacentral:rRNA from 1 species
CCGGGAAACUGGAGCUAAUACCGUAUCCGCCCUUUGGGGGAAAGAUUUAUCGGGGAAGGAUGAGCCCGCGUUGGAUUAGCUAGUUGGUGGGGUAAAGGCCUACCAAGGCGACGAUCCAUAGCUGGUCUGAGAGGAUGAUCAGCCACAUUGGGACUGAGACCCGGCCCAAACUCUUACCCAAGGCAGCAGUGGGGAAUCUUGGACAAUGGGCGCAAGCCUGAUCCCUCCAUGUUAUAGAAAUGAUGAAGCCGGUAAG